ensembl:lncRNA
GGGGCAGGUCUGUGGUAGAGUCAGUAGAUAUAAGGGCCAGGUGUGUGGUAGAAUCAGUAGAUACCAAGGCCAGGUCUGUGGUAGAGUCAGUAGAUAUAAGGGGCAGGUAUGUGGCAGAGUCAGUAGAUAUAAGGGGGCAGGUCUGUGGUAGAAUCAAUAUCAGAAUCUCUGUGGAUGGGAUUACGUUAAAUCUACAUUGUGUUUUUUUUUUUUUUCUCUCAACUGCUCCUCAGAUGAUGUGAAAAUAAUUUCAUGUUUUUUCCAAGGCAGUUGACACUCCAUCAAGAAUACCACCAAUGUUCGCAUGCCUAUAAAGUGUUUGGCCUGCCGUAACCCCACGUUGCAUAUUUGGGGUUGUCACUUAGUUGCACAAAAAAGAACACACCUCAACUACUGGCUCUUGAUGAAUUCUGAUGAUUUUUUUUGAAGAACUGAUGUGAAUGUGAAUGUGAAUUAGGAAUGUUGAGUACAUAUCAUACUCAUCCAUCUGCAUCCAGCCGUAAAGAGAUGUCCAUAGAUUUAGCACCAGAUGGACUCUCUCUCCAUCCUGUCUCCACACACUCUCAGUAAACACUGCUAAAAGAAUCCACACAGUUCUCUUUCCUUUGUAUUAGUC